CACGUAGGGCGCAAGCGUUGUCCGGAAUUAUUGGGCGUAAAGAGCUCGUAGGCGGACUGUCACGUCUGCUGUGAAAAGCUGGGGCUUAACCCUGGCCUUGCAGUGGAUACGGGCAGACUAGAGGUAGGUAGGGGAGAAUGGAAUUCCCGGUGUAGCGGUGAAAUGCGCAGAUAUCGGGAGGAACACCGGUGGCGAAGGCGGUUCUCUGGACCGACACUGACGCUGAGGCGCGAAAGCGUGGGGAGCAAACAGG
rnacentral:rRNA from 1 species